AACGAACGCUGGCGGCAUGCCUAACACAUGCAAGUCGAACGAGACCUUCGGGUCUAGUGGCGCACGGGUGCGUAACGCGUGGGAACCUGCCCUUAGGUUCGGAAUAACUCCCCGAAAGGGGUGCUAAUACGGGAUAAUGUCUUCGGACCAAGGAUUUAUCGCCUUUGGAUGGGCCCGCGUUGGAUUAGCUAGUUGGUAGGGUAAAAGCCUACCAAGGCGACGAUCCAUAGCUGGUCUGAGAGGAUGAUCAGCCACACUGGGACUGAGACACGGCCCAGACUCCUACGGGAGGCAGCAGUGGGGAAUAUUGGACAAUGGGCGAAAGCCUGAUCCAGCAAUGCCGCGUGAGUGAUGAAGGCCUUAGGGUUGUAAAGCUCUUUUACCCGGGAUGAUAAUGACAGUACCGGGAGAAUAAGCUCCGGCUAACUCCGUG
rnacentral:rRNA from 1 species